rnacentral:rRNA from 1 species
AACGAACGCUGGCGGCAGGCUUAACACAUGCAAGUCGAACGCAUCCUUCGGGGUGAGUGGCAGACGGGUGAGUAACGCGUGGGAACGUGCCCUUCAGUUCGGGAUAACCCAGGGAAACUUGGGCUAAUACCGGAUACGUGCGAGAGCAGAAAGAUUUAUCGCUGAAGGAUCGGCCCGCGUCUGAUUAGCUAGUUGGUGGGGUAAUGGCCCACCAAGGCGACGAUCAGUAGCUGGUCUGAGAGGAUGAUCAGCCACAUUGGGACUGAGACACGGCCCAAACUCCUACGGGAGGCAGCUGUGGGGAAUAUUGGACAAUGGGCGCAAGCCUGAUCCAGCCAUGCCGCGUGAGUGAUGAAGGCCUUAGGGUUGUAAAGCUCUUUCGUCCGGGACGAUAAUGACGGUACCGGAAGAAGAAGCCCCGGCUCACUUCGUGCCAGCAGCCGCCGUAA